GGUCCGUGGAUCAGAAAGUUGCAAUUCUUACCGAGCCGCAGAUGAGAUAACGACGGAAAAGCUGGGCCGUUUGUCGCCUGUUUCCUCUCAAGAACAGCUUCGUCCCCCUUUCGUCUACGAGUGAGCUGCUCGUUGCGGCGGCGCUAAUUUCGGCCACCCGCGGCCAAGGAAAACGGAGGACGCUGGUGUGGAGUUUCUUCUCGACGCCGUCGACAGGUUCCCGCUGCGGGAGGAGUACGCGGACAACAUUGAACACCCAGAUCCGGUUCCUCUGGUCUUGUUGCCCACGAGAGAAACCAACCGUGGCGACCCUGAAGACUCAAAUGCUGGGUCUGGCUGCGGGCAAUGGCUCGGCGACUAUGGAGCUGACAAAGCACGAGACGGAAUCCGCCGGCAUUCAGAUUCAUCUCCGACCAUGUCAGCGCAGUCAACUGACAAAGUCAACCCACAGGCCCCAAGUUGGACAAAAAGGUUGUGGCUGGGUAGUGCGCCGACAAACCGAACAGCGUGACCGUCUCGCAUUAGUACUCUUUAGCGGUCAAUUCGCAAAUAUGCGGAGGAACUGACAAAGAGUGUCGUACUACCAGCACUUGGCCUGAGUUUUGAUUCACUUGAUAAAACCUGAAAACUACUUUGAUAAUUGAAGAUUUUUGGCAUCCGGUUGCCGGGAGCCAGGUGGCUUCUUGUUACAUGAAUCACAAAUCGAAGCACUGUGAGCAGCUCAGAGCCUAAUUGCUGCUGGCAAACAGAACCAAGGUGCGGCAGAAGCAAACGAAGAGGACCAGCCUGGACCAGGAACUUCUAAUGGUGCAGGACAUCAAAACGGGAAAACUGUAAUGGAAGAAAUCUCAGAUUCCUUGAGCAGUGACAGUGAUGGCAAUGGCGGUGAUCCAAACGAUCGCAUUAUCAGGGCAUAUCAGAGAGUAGAAGACAGAGGUCAACCCCUAGGGCUACAGAGUUCACAGGGAAGCCUCCGUAUUAGGAAUGACGUGGAAGGUGGCCAUGUCACAGGUUUUGCGCCACGGAGUAUGAUGAGGCUGAGGCAAAGACGGUUGAUGUUUGAACUUCUGUUUUUCUGAUAUCCAGGUUUCUGAUGAAAACAAUACACUCAUUUGUUGAUUGUAGAUGCUGCCUCUCCUGGAGGCCAAGAGCAAGGUGGAGAAACAGGGGAAGCUGGAGACGGCGUUGCUAAUGAUGACAUUAAUUGGGAAGAACUGAAGAAUGAAAGCCAGGAAGCACCACCAAUGACUACUCAAGAACAAAUGGAUACUGAUAAUCAAUUUGCGUGAAACCUUGAUCACUAUGCAAUGGCACAGAGCUGGACGUUGAAUUGAUGAAGAUCACAUAGAUUCGAUGUGGCAUCGAAAGUGCCAACAAAUUACAUGGGAGAGCA